CUCCUUGCUGUUGGUUUCCUCCUUUGAGCAAGGACUUCUAGCGGCCUUAAGGCUGCGGUCAUGUCCAUCAUUGUCCCUGUUCUUCUAAGUCUUCUGAGAAAAAAUAAUCCUGUGCUUUGGAUCAACAAAGUGCCGUGGUGAUUAUCUAGUCGAACCUUCUUGUUUUAUAGUUGAAGGCAAUGAGGUCUAGAACUAUGAAGUGACCUCAGCACUCUGUAAGUCUAUAUGGGCUUAAUGGCCCAGGGUCCCCCAGCUGGUUAGUGGCUAAUCUCAGACUCAAAGUUUGUUGACUUCAAUUCCAGAGCCUUUUCCACUGCAGCAAGUGUCAACAUGUAAUCUGUCUUCAGAAUAUACAUCAGAUCUGAGUGGAUCCUGUGGCUGUUCCAGUCAACAGAAUAUGGCAGAAGUGAUGCUAAAUGGUUCUGAGGCUCUUCCCACUCAAUCUCUGCCCGGUGUCCUGGGACAUUUAUUCUGGUGGAGAGAUAAUUCCAGUAUAAGAGGUACAGCUACCCUGGAGGGCCACGUCUAUAGACCCUGUUGAGCAACCAGCUGACAGCAGCAUCCAGUGGCAGCCAUCUGUGUGAGCCAUCUGGGACGUCCAGUCUAGUUGGGCCCAUAGAUGAUCACAGCAUAGCCAACAUCUGACCACAACUAUGAAAAACCCCGUAUGAGAACUGCCCAGCCAAGCCCUUUGCAGAUUCCUGACUCAUAAAACUAUGAGAAAAAUCAAAUUGUUGUUUUACUCCACUAAGUUUUGGAAUGAUUUGUAAUGCAGGAUCAUUAACCAGGGCACAUAGCAACACUGAAGGGUCACUGCAAGGACUGAGUGAGAGAAC
ensembl:lncRNA